CAGUAGCCACGGGAAUACGUAGGUGGCAAGCGUUGUCCGGAAUUAUUGGGCGUAAAGGGCCCGCAGGCGGUUUCUUAAGUCUGAUGUGAAAGCCCCCGGCUCAACCGGGGAGGGUCAUUGGAAACUGGGAAACUUGAGUGCAGAAGAGGAGAGUGGAAUUCCACGUGUAGCGGUGAAAUGCGUAGAGAUGUGGAGGAACACCAGUGGCGAAGGCGACUCUCUGGUCUGUAACUGACGCUGAGGAGCGAAAGCGUGGGGAGCGAACAGGAUUAGAGACCCCCUUAGUCCCUGUCUCUUAUAC
rnacentral:rRNA from 1 species